UGCGUUAUGAGAGUAAAAUGUGUUUGACAGGAAUCUGAACGAGAGGAGGGGGCGGCGGCACACGAGUGGAAAUCCGCACCUUCAAGAGAUCGCCAUCACUUUUUUUCCCCCUCGUCAAUCUUCAGUCGCGUGCAGUCCGUUAACCGCGCGGAGGCGAAUGCGGUGAAUUAUUUGGAGGCUCAGCAACAGGGCACACAGAGUACAGGAUGCCGCUGAGUGUAUCAGCCCCGCCGCGCUCGGGGAGCUCCCGCGACUAGCGCCGCGCAAAGUAUCCAAAAAGGAGAAUGCGAAUGGUUAGAGAGGACAGGAUUCAAUUAAUAUGGAAACGAUGUAGCUUCACCGCCGCAUUGCAUAUAGCUCGGGGAAACAGGUUAGAAAGUAGAUAGCUAAAUAGGGCGCAUUUUGCCGUCAUACAUGCAAACUUACUCAUCAUCAAGCUCAACUAGCCUGUAGUUGGCUGCAACAAAAGGAACAGCUGCUCGACAGUGUCUUCAGAUACCAAAGAAGACAAGAAGAAUUGAAGAUGUUACGGAGGAGGCUCAACCGAUUGUGUGGAGGAGACGAGAAGCGAGUGGACAGCAGGACAAUCUAUGUAGGACAUCGGCCAUGUCCGGACACCGAAGCCUUCAUCCCCUCUAAAUUCUGUGACAACAGGAUCGUGUCCUCCAAGUACACAGUGUGGAACUUCCUGCCAAAGAACCUAUUCGAGCAGUUUAGAAGAAUUGCUAAUUUUUACUUCCUCAUCAUAUUCUUGGUGCAGGUGAUUGUUGAUACCCCGACCAGCCCCGUGACUAGUGGUUUACCUCUGUUUUUUGUCAUCACAGUGACGGCCAUCAAACAGGGUUAUGAGGACUGGCUGCGGCAUAAAGCAGACAAUGAGGUGAAUAAGUACCCGGUGACGGUGUUAGAGGACGGCCGGUCGGUGAAGAAGGAGAGUGAGAAGAUCAAGGUGGGCGAUGUGGUUGAAGUGGUGGAGGACGAGACCUUUCCCUGUGACCUGAUUCUGUUGCAGUCCAGUCGAGAAGAUGGCACUUGUUUUGUCACCACAGCCAGCUUGGAUGGAGAAUCCAACCACAAAACACACUACACGGUGCCAGACACCGAGAAGGACCUGCAGGCUCUCACUGCCGCCAUCGAGUGUGAACAACCCCAGCCUGACCUCUACAAGUUUGUGGGUCGAAUGCACAUUUACAAGCCGGAGCAGGAGCCAGCAGUAAGAUCUUUGGGCCCAGAGAACCUUCUCCUAAAAGGUGCUACGUUGAAAAACACCAAGAAGAUUUAUGGUGUCGCAUUAUACACGGGCAUGGAGACGAAGAUGGCGCUUAACUACCAGGGCAAAUCUCAGAAGCGAUCAGCUGUUGAAAAAUCCAUCAAUGCCUUUCUGUUGGUGUAUCUAUGUAUCCUCAUCAGUAAAGCUAUUGUGUGUACUACGCUAAAGUACGUAUGGCAAAGCAAAGAAGGUCAGGAUGAGCCUUGGUACAACCAGAAAACCCAGAAGGAGAAAGACACUAAUAUGUAUUUGAAGAUGUUUACAGACUUCCUCUCCUUCAUGGUCCUCUUCAACUUUAUAAUCCCCGUGUCCAUGUACGUAACUGUGGAGAUGCAAAAAUUCCUGGGCUCUUUCUUUAUCACUUGGGAUAAAGACUUCGUUGACCCGGAGAUCCAAGAAGGCGCGCUUGUCAACACUUCAGACCUCAAUGAGGAACUCGGCCAGGUGGAAUAUGUAUUCACAGACAAGACGGGCACGCUGACCCAGAACAACAUGGAGUUCAUCGAGUGCUGUAUAGACGGCUUCCAGUACAAACACAGAGACAACCGGAGCGAGCUGGAUGGCUUCACUGUGACGGACGGGCCUGUGAAUAAACUGCAGCAGAAGGCUGGAAGGGAGAAAGAGGAGUUGUUCCUGCGGGCCUUGUGUCUGUGUCACACGGUGCAGGUGAAGGAGGCUGGAUCUGAAGUAGUUACAGACCAAGUUGAUGGGAUCGACGGGAUGAUUCACCAGCCGGAGGAAGAAAGAGGCUUCAUUGCAUCCUCUCCUGAUGAGAUCGCACUGGUCAAAGGAGCCAUGAAAUACGGCUUCACCUUCCUUGGUUUGGAAAGCAAGAGCAUGAAGAUAAGGAACAGGCAAAAUGAUAUAGAGGAGUACAAGUUGCUCCAUGUCCUAAACUUUGACCCAGUUCGAAGAAGAAUGAGCGUCAUCGUGCAGACCAAAUCAGGGGAGACGUUGCUUUUUUGUAAGGGAGCUGAUUCUUCCAUCUUCCCAAGAGUCAAACCAGAGGAGGUGGAUAGGAUUCGCAUGCACGUUGAGCGAAAUGCAACGGAGGGUUACCGUACACUGUGUGUGGCCUAUAAGCAGCUGAGUGCUGAGGAAUAUGCUGUGGCGGAUACUGGGCUGAGGGAGGCUAGACUGGCUCUCCAGGACCGAGAGGAGAAACUCAUGGCCAUGUAUAACCAGGUAGAGACAGGCAUGAGUUUGAUUGGAGCGACCGCUGUGGAGGACAGGCUUCAGGAAGAGGCAGCAGAGACAAUGGAGGCCUUGCAGGGCGCUGGGAUGAAGGUUUGGGUGCUGACGGGGGACAAAAUGGAGACGGCCAAAUCUACCUGCUAUGCCUGUCGUUUGUUCCAGCGGGGUACGGAGCUACUGGAACUGACUGUGCGGACACUGGAGGAUGGGAGGUCAAAGCGUGAGGAGAAACUUCUCGAGUUGUUACGGGACUACCAUAGAAAAGCAGUGCAGGAUGCCCCACCUGUCAAAGCUGGGGUCACCAGGAGCUGGUCUACUGCAAAUCAGGAUUACGGCUUCAUCAUAGAUGGGGCGACGUUGUCGUUACUGAUGAACCCACCGCGUGAUGCGGAUGCCAGUCUGUACAGGAACCUCUUCCUGCAGAUCUGCCAGAACUGCACUGCUGUGCUCUGCUGCCGCAUGGCCCCCCUGCAGAAAGCUCAGAUAGUGAAGAUGGUGAAGAACUCCAAAGGUUCCCCAAUCACUCUCUCUAUUGGCGAUGGGGCCAAUGAUGUUAGCAUGAUCCUUGAGGCACACGUGGGCAUUGGUAUUAAAGGUAAGGAGGGCCGUCAAGCUGUGAGAAACAGCGACUACGCCAUUCCUAAACUCAAGCACUUAAAGAAGCUUUUGCUGGCUCAUGGGCAUCUCUACUAUGUGCGCAUUGCGCAUCUCGUCCAGUACUUCUUUUAUAAGAAUCUUUGCUUCAUCUUACCUCAGUUCCUGUACCAGUUUUUCUGUGGAUACUCUCAGCAGCCCCUGUACGACGCAGCCUAUCUGACGAUGUACAACAUCUGCUUCACCUCCAUGCCCAUUCUGGCCUACAGCCUGCUGGAACAGCACAUAUCCAUUGAGAUUCUGCUGGACCACGCCGCCCUCUACAGAGAAAUAGCCAAUAAUGCCAUGUUACGCUGGCGCCCCUUCCUCUACUGGACAGUAUUAGGAAUUUUUCAGGGUCUCCUGUUCUUCUUUGGUGUCCGAUUCCUGUUUAGCAAUCCAGCCCUGCAGGAUAACGGGCAGGUUUUUGGAAACUGGUCUUACGGAACAAUUGUCUUUACGGUCCUUGUUUUCACUGUUACAUUGAAGCUGGCUCUGGACACACGGCACUGGACGUGGAUCAACCAUUUUGUGAUCUGGGGCUCUUUGGCUUUCUAUGUUUUCUUCAGUUUCUUCUGGGGAGGCAUCAUAUGGCCGUUUUUGAAGCAGCAGCGUUUGUACUUUGUGUUCGCCAACAUGCUGAGUUCAGUGUCUGCCUGGCUGGUCAUCAUCAUCCUCAUCCUCCUCAGUCUGCUGCCAGAGAUCCUUCUGGUGGUCCUUCGCAAGCCCAGAGGCCCCCAUUCACGACAGAAAAAGCCGGGUCAGUCGAAUGUGGGGGGCAACCCGUCCUCUCAGUCUUCAGCCAGACCCCUGCUCAUGAGAACCUUUUCAGACGAGUCCAAUUCUGUCAUAUGAACAGCUGUCAGAGGAUUCACCGACUGACACAUACAGUCGUAAAGAAGUUGUUUCUUUAGGAAAACAUUCCAGAAUUUUUCGAGUUUGAACUUCCAAAAUGCAGCUUCAAAGGGAUCCCAGCCAAGGAAGAAGGGUCUUAUCUAGCGAAAUGGUUGGUUAUUUUCUACAAAAAAAAAAUACUAUUUAUGUACUUUUUAACCUCAGCCUACAAACUCUGUGUAAUCUCCCAUCUCAUUUUCUCCUCCACUUUCAAAAUUCUUUGUUGUUACCGAAGUACCGACCCAGUGUUUACAAAGUGAACAUGCAAGGAAGAUCAAAUGCCCUUUACAAAAAGGGUAAAACAGUGAUGUACAAUAAUUCUGAAGUUGGAGGAGAAAAUAAGAUGGGAGUUUUUCUAUAUACCCUAACUGUAUUGACCCAAAUUACAGAGUUCGCAUGUGCGACAAGAAUACACAAGGCGAGCGUUUGAGGUUAAAAAGUAUAUAAAUUUUUAUUUUUUUUUCACUAGAUAAGACCCUUAUUCCUCAUCUGGGAUCGUUUGAAGCUGCGUUGAAAUUGUAUUUUGGAAAUUUAAACUCACAAGCACCAUAGAUGUCCACUAUAUGGAGAAAAACUCUGAAGAAUUCCUCAAGAAACAUAGUUUCUUUACGACUUGAGAGAGAAAGACAUGAACAUCUUGGAUGACAAGGGGAUGGCUGCUGUCACACCUCUCUCCUACAAGCAUCUGAAGGAGCGCUACUGAUGGGCACGGACAGCCUUGGGUUAAGAAUACUGAUGGGACCCUCACAUCCGCCAGGGUCGCUGCCCUUCCUCCUGCCUGUUUAAAUGAAACAUGACAAUGGAACCAACUUAAACUGCUUUUCUGUUACACCCAGCACGACUCCACAAGAACUGUGUUUUCUCACCGCCUUGCCCUACUGCCAAACUCCCAUAUUCAACCCUAACGGGAUGAAUGUUUCACUGGCUGAGUCGUCAGUAGCGCUCGACUGCUACAGAAUGUACCAACAUCCCUGCUCCACCUAUUGGUUGUCUUGCAUGAUCGCCCCCCUCAAAAAAGCCAACUUUCCAUACUUUCUGGUUUUCUUUACUUUGUAGGCAGACGGUCGGCCCCUUUUGCGAUCAGGUCACAAUCCCAAAUAGUAGUCUAGAGUUUUAUGAUAUGUAGCUGUUCGAGAUCCCUAAAUGUGAGCUCUCUCUAAGAUGCUGCACUGCGGGCCCUGACCCUAUGGGUAUAAAAGCUGCCUUUCAACAACUCGCUGUUUGUUCGACCACAUGGAGUUCUGGGAUAUCCCAUGGAGCCUCUGUAUGUGUACGUGUGCGUGCGUGUGUGUGUGUGUGAGAAAUCAAAAGUCAUUUCUUUCAGAUAUUUCUUAUAACGUACCGUCAGUCUUUCAAUGUUACUCUUUGUUGAAACGGGGAUCAGUUUACAGUCGGGUUACAAAUUGUACUAGUGCAAAGUGGAUGUUGCAAAUGUUGCUUGAUGCCAAAAAAGAGAGAUUCCAUUUAAAUGGACGACUGGGUCUCUUUGGUUUGUCCUUAAAGAUAGAUUAUACAUUACGGCACAUGUUUGGAUUGGCGAGUCAGGUCAGAGUUAAGGCAUCCAGUGGAGCCAUUAAUGACAUAGAUUGAGUGUGUCAGCUUUAUCCACCAGGCCAGUGCUCAAACACAUGCUUUUACGUCCACAUGCAUGUAUUUCACUUUUAGGGAGCUUAGAUUGGUGAAACGGGCGCUUUCGGCCUGACGCGUAUUGAAAGUCACCUCUGCCCUCUAGCGGUUUGGAGGGCAUGUAAUGUUAUUCUUUGCUUCUAAAUACAUUCCAUUUCUACGUGCCAUCAUUUCGAUCACUUUUUAGAUUAUAGUUGAAUUAUUUUGUUCUUGACUAUGUGAUUUGACAUAUUUAUUGUAAUUAUUCUCACAGAUGUUGUAUUUUUAUCAGAGGUAUUUCUUUCUCUUAAUUGUUAAUCAUUAUCAGCUUGUGCCAACUUAUUUGCCAGUGCAAUCCGCUGUUGAACAGAUUGGGUUUCUGUAUCUUGUAAGCCUGAGCAGACCCUGUAGACCAGCAGCUCUGGGCUUUUUCUCUGAUCAGAGAUCAGUCCUAUAGAUCCCCCCCUUAAUAUAUGGUGUGAAUGCAGCUGAAAUCUCGGUGUCCCUUUAAUAUGAAUGAUCUAUUCCGUUCUUUAUUCUGCUUGUAGCCCAAAAUGGGUGUUAAAAGAGCCACUGGCUGGCAUGUUCUCUAAUCGGGCGCAUUUCUUCAUUAUAUUUCUCCCAAAGCAAAUAUGCCCCAUUCUUGCUUCAGCUAUCUUCAAGUGUGUGUGUGGGUUAUCCAAGGGAAAGUGGUGUGUGUUAGACCUCUGACUGUGUCAUGAUGCUAAGCAUCUUAAGCUCAGCUCCCAGUCGUGGGCCGGGCUUAAUCCAGCUGUAUCACAGCCCCGCAUAACCGCCAGGCCUUCUUUUCAUUUCUGAUUACAUCAUGAAUUAGCUUUCUAGAGAAAAUAUAUCAGAGCUUUAUUUACAUUUGCUUUCAGCUGAACAGGUGAGGCCAGUUGGUGUGAUGUUUCAUUGUGAACAUUAGUCCAGCGCGAGGCCGUUUUAUGUUUGUUCUCGGUGCAUGUGUGACUACUAAUGCCACCACUGGACUGAACCCUGGUGAGCACAUACACACUCACACCAAGAUGAAGACACAUCCAUGUGUUUGCUCAGCUCAGUUUGGGAGGGGAAAACAGAACUUGCCUGCAAUGUUUGAAAUUUCCAAACAGACCUUUAAAUUACUUCAGAGAUGCUAUUUUCAAAGCUUAUAAUAAUUCUUGGAUUCUCAUGUUGCCUGAAUAUAUAUAUAUAUAUAUAUAUAUAUAUAUAUAAAUAUUUGAUUGUAUUUUUAACGGAACUUUUUGAGCCACUUUUUGUAAUAAAAAAAAAAAAAACAUCCAAAAAAAAACAAACAAAUAAAAAAAGCUGAGAAAGGCAGCCUGAUUGUGGAGUGUGAGGCAGGGCUGAGGUGUGUUUCUGUGAAAUAAAUCAGGCAUUAGCACGGUCAGCCCUGCUUACUCCAUCAUGUCCCUCAGGCUCCAGCUGAUCUGAAUGUACCUCUCAAGACCAGUCUGUUUCAAAAUGUUUCUUUAAUAAAAGCUGUUUUGAAAGAA